GCUUUUAUAGUGUAAACCGAACACCUUACAUUUUCGCUGUAAUAAUAAAGAAAUUCUUUUAAAAGCU
rnacentral:tRNA from 1 species